ACGGAGGGUGCGAGCGUUAAUCGGAAUUACUGGGCGUAAAGAGUACGUAGGCGGCUUGGUCAGUCGGAUGUGAAAGCCCCGGGCUUAACCUGGGAAUUGCACUCGAUACUGCCAAGCUAGAAUUUAGUAGAGGAAUGCGGAAUUCCGGGUGUAGCGGUGAAAUGCGUAGAGAUCCGGAGGAACAUCAAUGGCGAAGGCAGCAUUCUGGGCUAAAAUUGACGCUGAGGUACGAAAGCGUGGGGAGCAAACAGG
rnacentral:rRNA from 1 species